CCAGUGAAGAUGAAGCAGGCUUUAGCAACAUUUUUAGUCGUGAUUGCUUUUCUUAUUCUCAUAUCAGGUAUAUUUCUUAUAUUCGUACGCAUUAAUUAUUUCAAUGAACAAUUUAAAAAGGAUAAUUUCCAUGAGAAAAAAAUAAGUUUUUCAUCCCUUCGGGAAUGCCCAGUUGGUUUGGAGGGUGGUCAUCCAUAUGGAUGAUCUGGGAUGGAUCCCCCCUCAAUGUCUUAUGGGUUGAGUCUGUCGCAUAGGGUUUGCCUAGUGCGGUUUACAUCUCCUGUGUGGUUUGCAAACUAUUGCACAGAGAUUUACCCAAUGCACACAAAGUGCUCACCCGAAGGACAGAGGCUGUAGCGACUGCGGGUUCCUCCUUAACCAAAAAAAAAAAAAAAAAAAGCUUUUCGAUUUAUCCAAAAAACUAGCAACUCUUUGGACGUUCUUCAUUCAUUUUUUCAUUUUAAUCAUAUGCAAUUGUAAAUUUUUUGAUGACUAAAGGCCACAUUAUAAGGGAGAGGGAUUGUUUAUGUAGCUAGUAAUUAUUUAAACUGGUUUUUAUAAUGAUUUAUCAUUAUUAUUUUUGCAGAAAAUGGAAUGCCUUCAGCAGAGGGUGCUCCAGUAAAUGUUUGUGAACAAAUAGUUUCGGGAAUUAAGUGUCCACCGGAAGGAAAUUCAAAGAUAUGCCUGACGGAGUGCUUUAGAAUAUCCAAAGGUAAUAAACCCAUCAGUCAUUAUUGUUUAGAUGGGAAAGAUUCAACUUAUUGCUAUUGUCAAUGGAGAGCAGAUUCCUGUAAUUAAAGAGUGUUAUUUAUGCAAGUAUUUAGCAGUUGCAUUGCUGAUUCUUCAUGAAGUUGAGCGAGUACAAGAAUUUCUUAAAGUGUAAGAGCG
rnacentral:lncRNA from 1 species